rnacentral:rRNA from 1 species
UGGGGAAUCUUGCACAAUGGGGGAAACCCUGAUGCAGCGACGCCGCGUGAGCGAUGAAGCCCUUCGGGGUGUAAAGCUCUUUCGGCAGGGACGAUAAUGACGGUACCUGAAGAAGAAGCUGCGGCUAACUACGUGCCAGCAGCCGCGGUAAUACGUAGGCAGCGAGCGUUGUUCGGAGUUACUGGGCGUAAAGCGUGCGUAGGCGGUAGUCCAAGUCUGGUGUGAAAUCUCCCGGCUCAACUGGGAGGGUGCGCCGGAAACUGGGCUGCUGGAGUACGGGAGAGGCAAGCGGAAUUCCUGGUGUAGCGGUGAAAUGCGUAGAUAUCAGGAGGAACACCCGUGGUGCAGACGGCUUGCUGGACCGUGACUGACGCUGAGGCACGAAAGCGUGGGUAGCAAACAG